rnacentral:rRNA from 1 species
AAAUUGAAGAGUUUGAUCAUGGCUCAGAUUGAACGCUGGCGGCAGGCCUAACACAUGCAAGUCGAACGGUAACAGGAAGCAGCUUGCUGCUUCGCUGACGAGUGGCGGACGGGUGAGUAAUGUCUGGGAAACUGCCUGAUGGAGGGGGAUAACUACUGGAAACGGUGGCUAAUACCGCAUAACGUCGCAAGACCAAAGAGGGGGACCUUCGGGCCUCUUGCCAUCAGAUGUGCCCAGAUGGGAUUAGCUAGUUGGUGAGGUAACGGCUCACCAAGGCGACGAUCCCUAGCUGGUCUGAGAGGAUGACCAGCCACACUGGAACUGAGACACGGUCCAGACUCCUACGGGAGGCAGCAGUGGGGAAUAUUGCACAAUGGGCGCAAGCCUGAUGCAGCCAUGCCGCGUGUAUGAAGAAGGCCUUCGGGUUGUAAAGUACUUUCAGCGGGGAGGAAGGUGUUGUGGUUAAUAACCGCAGCAAUUGACGUUACCCGCAGAAGAAGCACCGGCUAACUCCGUGCCAGCAGCCGCGGUAAUACGGAGGGUGCAAGCGUUAAUCGGAAUUACUGGGCGUAAAGCGCACGCAGGCGGUCUGUCAAGUCGGAUGUGAAAUCCCCGGGCUCAACCUGGGAACUGCAUUCGAAACUGGCAGGCUUGAGUCUUGUAGAGGGGGGUAGAAUUCCAGGUGUAGCGGUGAAAUGCGUAGAGAUCUGGAGGAAUACCGGUGGCGAAGGCGGCCCCCUGGACAAAGACUGACGCUCAGGUGCGAAAGCGUGGGGAGCAAACAGGAUUAGAUACCCUGGUAGUCCACGCCGUAAACGAUGUCUACUUGGAGGUUGUGCCCUUGAGGCGUGGCUUCCGGAGCUAACGCGUUAAGUAGACCGCCUGGGGAGUACGGCCGCAAGGUUAAAACUCAAAUGAAUUGACGGGGGCCCGCACAAGCGGUGGAGCAUGUGGUUUAAUUCGAUGCAACGCGAAGAACCUUACCUGGUCUUGACAUCCACAGAACUUUCCAGAGAUGGACUGGUGCCUUCGGGAACUGUGAGACAGGUGCUGCAUGGCUGUCGUCAGCUCGUGUUGUGAAAUGUUGGGUUAAGUCCCGCAACGAGCGCAACCCUUAUCCUUUGUUGCCAGCGGUCCGGCCGGGAACUCAAAGGAGACUGCCAGUGAUAAACUGGAGGAAGGUGGGGAUGACGUCAAGUCAUCAUGGCCCUUACGACCAGGGCUACACACGUGCUACAAUGGCGCAUACAAAGAGAAGCGACCUCGCGAGAGCAAGCGGACCUCAUAAAGUGCGUCGUAGUCCGGAUUGGAGUCUGCAACUCGACUCCAUGAAGUCGGAAUCGCUAGUAAUCGUGGAUCAGAAUGCCACGGUGAAUACGUUCCCGGGCCUUGUACACACCGCCCGUCACACCAUGGGAGUGGGUUGCAAAAGAAGUAGGUAGCUUAACCUUCGGGAGGGCGCUUACCACUUUGUGAUUCAUGACUGGGGUGAAGUCGUAACAAGGUAACCGUAGGGGAACCUGCGGUUGGAUCACCUCCUUA